GCUUAUGAUAUGGAUAUAGAAAUGGCCACGUCCCCCUGGGCCUCUCAUAGUGUCCCAUGCCAGAGCAAACGCGGCCCCGAACCAUUGCCUGGCCUCUGCCAGUAGACUGCAGGCACUGAAGUGGGUUGCACAGUG
ensembl:snoRNA